ACCGGGGCCACGGCCACAAUACCGAGCAAUGUAUCCAGCUUAAGGAUGAGAUUGAAAAUCUCAUCCGUCGGGGGUAUCUCGGUAAAUUUCGAAGAAACCCACCGACUCAACCUGUGGCCGACCGACGGCCCUCUACCGACUGAAGACUCUGGAAGGAAAACCCUUUCCCCGAGCAUGGAACGUCGACAACUUGAAGUUGUAUCACCAAUAAACUUUGUACUUGUCC
rnacentral:lncRNA from 1 species